CUACUACUCCCUCCGUUCGGAAUUACUUGUCUCGGAAAUGGAUGUAUCUAGAAUUAAAAUAUGUCUAGAUACAUCCAUUUCUGCGACAAGUAAUUUCGAACAGAGGGAGUACUUU
rnacentral:pre_miRNA from 1 species